GGGCCCGUGGUGCAGUCUGGUUCAGCACGUCAGAUUGUCGAUCUGAAGACCGCGAGUUCAAAUCUCGUCGGGCCCGCCA
rnacentral:tRNA from 1 species